AGUGAACGCUGGCGGUAGGCCUAACACAUGCGAGUCGAACGGCAGCACAGUAAGAGCUUGCUCUUACGGGUGGCGAGUGGCGGACGGGUGAGGAAUACAUCGGAAUCUACUUUUUCGUGGGGGAUAACGUAGGGAAACUUACGCUAAUACCGCAUACGACCUACGGGUGAAAGCAGGGGAUCUUCGGACCUUGCGCGAUUGAAUGAGCCGAUGUCGGAUUAGCUAGUUGGCGGGGUAAAGGCCCACCAAGGCGACGAUCCGUAGCUGGUCUGAGAGGAUGAACAGCCACACUGGAACUGGAACACGGUCCAGACUCCUACGGGAGGCAGCAGGGGGGAAUAUUGGACAAUGGGCGCAAGCCGUAUCCAGGCAUACCGCGGUGGUGAAGAAGGCCUUCGGGUUUGUAAGCCCUUUUGUUGGGAAAGAAAAGCAGCAGGUUAAUACCCCGCUGUUCUGACGGUACCCAAAGAAUAAGCACCGGCUAACUUCGUG
rnacentral:rRNA from 1 species